rnacentral:misc_RNA from 1 species
GUGAAUCAUCAAAUUUUUGAACGCAAAUUGCACUCUCUUCGGUGCGUAUGACCGUUCGAGGGUCAGUAUAUAAAAAAUCGACCUCGUCGCUGUUUCGCGGUGGAGUUUGUUGGAAAUUGGGUGAUGUUUUAUCCUUUUGGUUUUUAAGCGACUUAAAAUUUUAUUUUUGGUUCCAUGAAUGUCAUUAAGAUUUAUUUUUUUAUACGCUUAAGGUAUCGAUUAUUAUUAGACGUGAUCAUUAUAA